rnacentral:rRNA from 1 species
GACGAACGCUGGCGGCGUGCUUAACACAUGCAAGUCGAACGGAAAGGCCCUGCUUUUGUGGGGUGCUCGAGUGGCGAACGGGUGAGUAACACGUGAGUAACCUGCCCUUGACUUUGGGAUAACUUCAGGAAACUGGGGCUAAUACCGGAUAGGAGCUCCUGCUGCAUGGUGGGGGUUGGAAAGUUUCGGCGGGUGGGGAUGGACUCGCGGCUUAUCAGCUUGUUGGUGGGGUAGUGGCUUACCAAGGCUUUGACGGGUAGCCGGCCUGAGAGGGUGACCGGCCACAUUGGGACUGAGAUACGGACCAGACUCCUACGGGAGGCAGCAGUGGGGAAUAUUGCACAAUGGGCGGAAGCCUGAUGCAGCAACGCCGCGUGCGGGAUGACGGCCUUCGGGUUGUAAACCGCUUUCGCCUGUGACGAAGCGUGAGUGACGGUAAUGGGUAAAGAAGCACCGGCUAACUACGUG